UAUGUAGUCCUUUUUAUACAA
rnacentral:piRNA from 1 species